AAAAAAACCUGCAUAAAUUACGACAAAAACGAGAUAUUCUAAACGUAAAACAAGAAAUAUGUUAUUGACAAGAGACGCGGAUCAUCUACAUUUAAAUAAAGCUUUACAAGCGGUGUUCCUGUAAUGUACCGUAAACCACUCAAUAAGCGCGCAUCUGAACCUAAACGGCGGCUGGCUUGACCGUGUAUUUUCAAACCGCGGCUGGCUUGACCGCAGUACUAGGCGGCCAUGGAUUCAAAGCCACCGGGCAGCUAUUUCACUCAUGCAAGAAAAUAGACCCUCUGUUCUAUGGAUUCUGGAUGACAGUUAAAUGAAGAGGACAUGCAAUCUCUGCUCUUGUAGUUCAUCAAAUCAGUGUAUAAUAACAAGGCAUUAUACACCAAAGCCACUACAACAGAUUGUUGCUGAAUUCAGCCAGCUGAUGUCCGCUGACCUCAUGAGGUCCUUUUAUAGUGGCCUAGAUGUACAUUUGCCAAACAAAAUCCUACUGUGGCUUGAUGCUAAAAUGACUCACACCAGAACUGCUUUUUUUUGGGCAUGUCUGAUUCCUCCAGUUUUUUAAAGCUUUGUGAGCCAACAGAUGAUUGAAGAUUGAAGAUUUUCUAAAAGGCAUUCACCUGGACAUUUUGAUUGUAAGUGACACGAAGAUGUCUUUCCAAAGGAAAUAAAUGAAUUCUCGCCAAUUCUUGAAGAAUGUCAGGUUCUUACUGAUAUCUCGGAUGUCCCCAAUGCUUUUGGACUCCUGAUGGGUUUACUUUAUGCUGUGAACAUUGACUACCCCAAACACAUUAAGUAAGCCUUUGAGGCUAUGCAAAACACAUAAUGAACAUUGUUGGAAGCAGCUGGUCUUCAUGUGUGCAUGGUCAUAACAACAAGUUGCUACCUAAAAAGUAGUUUUUUUAAAAGAAGCUUCAGGGUUUUGUAUACCAUUUGCAAAUGUUGUAAUGUUGGGUCAAGUUUGUUUUUACACAUCUCAUGUGAACGAGUUUAUUUAAAUAG